AAGAAGGUCUGCAGGACGUACAUCCUGAAGGCCACGUGAUACGGACGCUGCCAGCUCAGAAUCACCGCCGUUGGACUCAGAGGGUAAACGGCGAGGUCCCGCACACCGGUGGGCUCUGAUGGGCGACAUCACCGCAGGACAGGAUCCAUGCUGCUCUGUUGUCUCCACGGAAACAGGGAUGAAAGCAGAGACGACUCAUUAUGUUUGUCUGAGUCCACGGUUACCAUGGAUACGGAGCUGCGACUGAAGGUUAACGGACACUGAAUCACACGGUCACAUACAGAGCUGGCCCCUGUGCCUUCGUCACGUCAGUGCAUCCUGCAGGACAGAUGGGUGCACAUCGGCUGCCUGCAAGGACUCCAGCAGCCGCUUAAAUGUGGCUUUCUUUCCUCCACGUCGUCUCCACUGGAUCAGGCCGUCC